AGCAUAAUACCAGCCACCAUUCAUCCCAAUUUUAAUCAUUUCUUUUCAAUCCAAGUUCCAUCAAAUGUCUUGAAGUCUUUGUUAAACUUCACAAACACCAUCUCUGAGUCAAGCAGUUAAUUAGCUGGUAAUGCGCACAGCCUGCCCACAGUCAGAUGAGUGCACAUCAAAGAGGCCGCCCCACAAACCGGCGACUGCGCCUUCCACGCAUCCGUCUUCCGACCGCAAAACCCCAUCAAAUGUGAUGCGACGUGAGGGGCUGCCUGCCAUCUCUCCGGCAUCUGACCUUGUUUUACGGUUCAACAGCCAUCCACUUUUUUGGGGAGGGGAGUUUUUAACGGCCUGCCACCCCCGAGAGGACUGACCAAGUUUCCUUCCCUCUUAAGCAUUAAUUUACAAGCCUCGUCCGCUGUCCAAUGGGAUGAAAGACCACUUCAAGUUCAGUAAAAACCAACUUGCAGCAAGUUUUUGCUCUAAUGCAGUACGUUUUGCCGGACAGCUGGUGUCUGAGUGAAUCUAGAGAAGCAGUUGAGUUUCAACAUCAAAGUGCAGGUUAAGUGUGAUAAGUGGAAUGAGCAUAUGCCAGGGGGAAGAUAAUGACUAAAAAUGACUUUCUGUCUCCCUUACACAAAGAGAGACAGGGGCACAGCUGCUGUGGAAGAUUAAUGGGGCUGCCAGAUGUAGGGACUCUUGAGAGGGUGACCAGCCUAUAGUGCUCUUCACCAUGCUGGAAGAGGACAAAGCAUCCAUCAGACAAGCAUGGAGCAGACAGGCAGAGGAUCGUCAGAUAGGAGUAGAUUCGAUUCGAUUCCAGGGUAUCCCACCUUCGCCCGACAGUAGCCAGAUGAGGCUCUGGCAGCACCGUGACCCCAAAAGGGAUACAGUGGGAGUGACUGCUGUCUAACCUCUGGGUCACCUGAGAGGAGCAUCUGACAGCAUCAGUUCAGGACCAUCUAUACGAUUUGUUUUUCUCCUUCAUCAAGGUUAAAUGGAACAAAACAAUCAUCUUAGCUCAUGUGAACAAAUAGGGAAAAGGUACCCCGAUGUCCUACAACAAGGGUUAUAAAUAAGACAGAAAUCCAACACUUUCUAUGCAAUUUUCUCAA